ACAUAUCUGUAAUUUACUUAAGUAGAAUCAAUAGUGUAGAACUUUGACUUUUACUUUGUUACAUUUUGCGGCAAUUUUCUAUGUUUUCUACUCCACUACAUUUCCACAAUGUUCCGUUACAUUUUCUGAUCAUUUUUUUCCCACUGCC